rnacentral:rRNA from 1 species
CCUACGGGUGACAGCAGUGGGGGAUAUUGCACAAUGGGGGAAACCCUGAUGCAGCGACGCCGCGUGUGGGAAGACGGGCCUCUGGAUUGUAAACCACUGUCCCCAGGGACGAAGAUGACGGUACCUGGGGAGGAAGCUCCGGCUAACUACGUGCCAGCAGCCGCGGUAAUACGUAGGGAGCGAGCGUUGUCCGGAAUUACUGGGUGAAAAGGGAGCGUAGGGGGGACUGCAAGUUGGGUGUCAAAUCUACCGGCUCAACCGGUAGCCGCACUCAAAACUGCAGUUCUUGAGUGAAGUAGGGGCAGGCGGAAUUCCUAGUGUAGCGGUGAAAUGCGUAGAUAUUAGGAGGAACACCAGUGGCGAAGGCAGCCUGCUGGGCUUUUACUGACGCUGAGGCUCGAAAGUGUGGGGAGCAAACAGGAUUAGAUACCCGAGUAGUC